rnacentral:rRNA from 1 species
CAUCGCCGCGGGAAUACAGAGGGUGCGAGCGUUAAUCGGAUUUACUGGGCGUAAAGCGUGCGUAGGCGGCUUCUUAAGUCGGAUGUGAAAUCCCUGAGCUUAACUUAGGAAUUGCAUUCGAUACUGGGAAGCUAGAGUAUGGGAGAGGAUGGUAGAAUUCCAGGUGUAGCGGUGAAAUGCGUAGAGAUCUGGAGGAAUACCGAUGGCGAAGGCAGCCAUCUGGCCUAAUACUGACGCUGAGGUACGAAAGCAUGGGGAGCAAACAGGAUUAGAUACCCGCGUAGUCCCUGUCUCUUAUACA